AUUGAACGCUGGCGGCAUGCCUUACACAUGCAAGUCGAACGGCAGCACGGGAGCAAUCCUGGUGGCGAGUGGCGAACGGGUGAGUAAUGUAUCGGAACGUACCUUUCAGUGGGGGAUAACGUAGCGAAAGUUACGCUAAUACCGCAUAUUCUGUGAGCAGGAAAGCAGGGGAUCGCAAGACCUUGCGCCGAUUGAGCGGCCGAUAUCAGAUUAGCUAGUUGGUGAGGUAAAGGCUCACCAAGGCGACGAUCUGUAGCGGGUCUGAGAGGAUGAUCCGCCACACUGGAACUGAGACACGGUCCAGACUCCUACGGGAGGCAGCAGUGGGGAAUUUUGGACAAUGGGCGCAAGCCUGAUCCAGCCAAGCCGCGUGAGUGAAGAAGGCC
rnacentral:rRNA from 1 species